AAGACCUCAAAUCAGGUGAGACUACCCACUGAACUUAAGCAUAUCAAUAAGUGGAGGAAAAGAAACUAACAAGGAUUCCCCUAGUAAUGGCGAAUGAAGAGGGAAGAGCCCAAAUUUGUAAUCUGGCUUUCUUUAGAGAGUCUGAGUUGUAAUUUUAAGAACUGUUUUCAGUGCUGGACCAAUCAUAAGUUUGUUGGAAAACAACAUCAUUGAGGGUGAUAAUCCCGUCUAUGGAAUUGGACUACCAGUGCAAUAUGAUACAGUCUCUAAGAGUCGAGUUGUUUGGGAAUGCAGCUCAAAGUGGGUGGUAAAUUCCAUCUAAGGCUAAAUAUUGAUGAGAGACCGAUAGCAAACAAGUACCGUGAGGGAAAGAUGAAAAGAACUUUGGAAAGAGAGUUAACAGUAUGUGAAAUUGUUAAAAGGGAAACACUUGAAGUUAGACUUGCUAUUGCCAGUUCAAACCCUUUUUCUAGGGGAGUAUUCUGGUUUUUAUCUUUAGCAGAUCAACAUCAAUUCUAUUGGGUGCUGGAUAAGGGUUGUGGAAAUGUGGCAGUCUUUGGCUGUGUUUAUAAAAAAAGACUUUGAUAUAGUGCCUAGGAUUGAGGAAGGCAGUAAGC
rnacentral:rRNA from 1 species